rnacentral:rRNA from 1 species
UGCAGUCGAACGAGCUUCCGUUGAAUGACGUGCUUGCACUGAUUUCAACAAUGAAGCGAGUGGCGAACUGGUGAGUAACACGUGGGGAAUCUGCCCAGAAGCAGGGGAUAACACUUGGAAACAGGUGCUAAUACCGUAUAACAACAAAAUCCGCAUGGAUUUUGUUUGAAAGGUGGCUUCGGCUAUCACUUCUGGAUGAUCCCGCGGCGUAUUAGUUAGUUGGUGAGGUAAAGGCCCACCAAGACGAUGAUACGUAGCCGACCUGAGAGGGUAAUCGGCCACAUUGGGACUGAGACACGGCCCAAACUCCUACGGGAGGCAGCAGUAGGGAAUCUUCCACAAUGGACGAAAGUCUGAUGGAGCAAUGCCGCGUGAGUGAAGAAGGGUUUCGGCUCGUAAAACUCUGUUGUUAAAGAAGAACACCUUUGAGAGUAACUGUUCAAGGGUUGACGGUAUUUAACCAGAAAGCCACGGCUAACUACGUGCCAGCAGCCGCGGUAAUACGUAGGUGGCAAGCGUUGUCCGGAUUUAUUGGGCGUAAAGCGAGCGCAGGCGGUUUUUUAAGUCUGAUGUGAAAGCCUUCGGCUUAACCGGAGAAGUGCAUCGGAAACUGGGAGACUUGAGUGCAGAAGAGGACAGUGGAACUCCAUGUGUAGCGGUGGAAUGCGUAGAUAUAUGGAAGAACACCAGUGGCGAAGGCGGCUGUCUAGUCUGUAACUGACGCUGAGGCUCGAAAGCAUGGGUAGCGAACAGGAUUAGAUACCCUGGUAGUCCAUGCCGUAAACGAUGAGUGCUAAGUGUUGGAGGGUUUCCGCCCUUCAGUGCUGCAGCUAACGCAUUAAGCACUC